CCUGCCAACCCAUAAGAGGUCCAGCCUGCCCAGUGACUCUGUUCAACGGCCGCGGUAUCCUAACCGUGCGAAGGUAGCGUAAUCAUUUGUUCUUUAAAUGAGGACUAGUAUGAACGGCACUACGAGGGUUACGCUGUCUCCUUUUCCAAAUCAGUGAAACUAAUCUCCCCGUGAAGAAGCGAGGAUAAACUUAUAAGACGAGAAGACCCUAUGGAGCUUCAAACUUCCCAGCAAUUAUUUUUACUAAUACAACCUCAAGGUAAUAAAAUAAACCCUUAUAAUAUGACUGCAAGUUUUCGGUUGGGGUGACCACGGAGUAAAAUAUAUCCUCCACAAUGAAUUAAAGCCUUGGCUUUAAACAAAGAAACACAAUUCAAUGCAUCAAAAAAUUGACAUAUUGACCCAAUAUUUUGACCAAUGAAC
rnacentral:rRNA from 1 species